rnacentral:lncRNA from 1 species
ACUUUUGUCUAAAUUCUAAAUUUCCAUGUAAUGUUUACCGCCGGUUUCAUGGCCAAUCCCCCUUUGUGGGUAAAAGCCAGUAGAAGAGGUUCGAGCAAGUAAGUAAGCAAGCUACGACGAAUGA